GGACGCUUCGGGGGUUUUGGCCCUCGGGGAGUGGCGCACGGGUGAGUAGCGCGUGGGAACCUGUCCUUUUGUGGGGGAUAACCGAGGGAAACUUCGGCUAAUACCGCAUGCGCCCGGAGUGAUCCGGGGAAAGAUUUAUCGCAGAGGGAGGGGCCCGCGUCGGAUUAGGUAGUUGGUGGGGUAACGGCCUACCAAGCCGAUGAUCCGUAGCUGGUCUGAGAGGAUGAUCAGCCACACUGGGACUGAGACACGGCCCAGACUCCUACGGGAGGCAGCAGUGGGGAAUAUUGGACAAUGGGCGCAAGCCUGAUCCAGCAAUGCCGCGUGAGUGAAGAAGGCCUUCGGGUUGUAAAGCUCUUUUGUGCGGGAAGAUAAUGACGGUACCGCAAGAAUAAGCCCCGGCUAACUUCGUG
rnacentral:rRNA from 1 species